rnacentral:rRNA from 1 species
GAGCUCAAAUUUGUAAUCUGGCGGCCUCUGGUCGUCCGAGUUGUAGUCUGGAGAAGCGUUUUCCGCGUCGGACCGUGUACAAGUCCCUUGGAACAGGGCGUCGUAGAGGGUGAGAAUCCCGUCUUUGACACGGACUGCCGAUGCUUUGUGAUGCGCUCUCGAAGAGUCGAGUUGUUUGGGAAUGCAGCUCAAAACGGGUGGUAAAUUCCAUCUAAAGCUAAAUAUGGGCGAAAGACCGAUAGCGAACAAGUACCGUGAGGGAAAGAUGAAAAGCACUUUGGAAAGAGAGUUAAACAGUACGUGAAAUUGUUGAAAGGGAAACGCUUGAAGUCAGUCGCGUCUCCUGGGACUCAGCCUUGCUUCUGCUUGGUGUACUUCCUGGGACGACGGGCCAGCAUCGAUUUUGAUCGUCGGAGAAAGGCCUUGGGAACGUGGCACCUUUGGGUGUGUUAUAGCCCUUGGUCGUAUGCGACGGUUGGGAUCGAGGACCGCAGCACGCCUUUUUGGCCGGGGUUCGCCCACGUACGUGCUUAGGAUGCUGGCGUAAUGGCUUUAAGCGACCCGUCUUGAAACACGGACCAAGGAGUCUAACAUGCCUGCGAGUGUUUGGGUGGUAAACCCGGACGCGAAAUGAAAGUGAAAAGUUGGGACCUCUGUCGUGGAGGGCACCGACGCCCG